rnacentral:misc_RNA from 1 species
AUUUCUGUCUUGGGAUUUCCAUUUCUUUCUUUUUGUUUUGUUUUCUUUCCAGAUACGCAGAGUCUAACACUGAAAAAUGUGUGAAUGAUUUUAAUGACCAGGGAUUCUUGUAAAAUGGUGUUUUUGUUAAUACCCUUUUUUCAUUGAUCAUAUUAGAUUCUGAAAGAACCUUAAUUCUGGUUAAAUAUUGAGUUCUUGAUUGGCCUUCUCAGAUUCUAGAUUCGAAAUUUCUUUUAUUGAGAUAUUUUAG